rnacentral:rRNA from 1 species
UACGUAGGUGGCAAGCGUUGUCCGGAUUUACUGGGCGUAAAGGGCGUGCAGGCGGUCUGUUAAGUCUAGGGUGAAAGCUCCCGGCUCAACUGGGAGAGGUCCUUGGAUACUGGCGGACUUGAGGAAGGCAGAGGAAAGUGGAAUUCCCGGUGUAGUGGUGAUAUGCGUAGAUAUCGGGAGGAACACCAGUGGCGAAGGCGGCUUUCUGGGCCUUGCCUGACGCUGAGACGCGAAAGCGUGGGGAGCGAACCGG